rnacentral:rRNA from 1 species
GAUGAACGCUAGCGGCAGGCUUAAUACAUGCAAGUCGUGGGGCAGCAGGUUUGUAGCAAUACAGAUGCUGGCGACCGGCAAACGGGUGCGGAACACGUACAGAACCUUCCUUUGAGCGGGGAAUAGCCCAGAGAAAUUUGGAUUAAAUACCCCAUAGUAUAAUGAAGUGGCAUCACUUUAUAUUAAGAUUAUCACUCGAAGAUGGCUGUGCGGCUGAUUAGGGUAGUUGGCGGGGUUAAAGGCCCACCAAGCCUGCGAUCAGUAACUGGUGUGAGAGCACGACCAGUCACACGGGCACUGAGACACGGGCCCGA